rnacentral:rRNA from 1 species
GAUGAACGCUGGCGGCGUGCCUAAUACAUGCAAGUCGAGCGAACGGACGAGAAGCUUGCUUCUCUGAUGUUAGCGGCGGACGGGUGAGUAACACGUGGAUAACCUACCUAUAAGACUGGGAUAACUUCGGGAAACCGGUGCUAAUACCGGAUAAUAUUUUGAACCGCAUGGUUCAAAAGUGAAAGACGGUCUUGCUGUCACUUAUAGAUGGAUCCGCGCUGCAUUAGCUAGUUGGUAAGGUAACGGCUUACCAAGGCAACGAUGCAUAGCCGACCUGAGAGGGUGAUCGGCCACACUGGUACUGAGACACGGUCCAGACUCCUACGGGAGGCAGCAGUAGGGAAUCUUCCGCAAUGGGCGAAAGCCUGACGGAGCAACGCCGCGUGAGUGAUGAAGGUCUUCGGAUCGUAAAACUCUGUUAUUAGGGAAGAACAUAUGUGUAAGUAACUGUGCACAUCUUGACGGUACCUAAUCAGAAAGCCACGGCUAACUACGUG